rnacentral:rRNA from 1 species
GACGAACGCUGGCGGCGUGCCUAACACAUGCAAGUCGAACGGGGCUCUUUGGAUCGAGACUUCGGUCAAGUGAAUCUGAGCUUAGUGGCGGACGGGUGAGUAACGCGUGAGCAACCUGCCUUUCAGAGGGGGACAACAGUUGGAAACGACUGCUAAUACCGCAUAAUGUGUUUUGGGGGCAUCCCCGAAAUACCAAAGAUUUAUCGCUGAAAGAUGAGCUCGCGUCCCAUUAGCUGGUUGGCGGGGUAACGGCCCACCAAGGCGACGAUGGGUAGCCGGACUGAGAGGUUGAACGGCCACAUUGGGACUGAGACACGGCCCAG